GGGCGAUGCUAUAAGGCCGGCCUGCCAAGGCUGUCCUGCACUAGGUACAUGCUACAGGUAGUGGUGUCCACACCAACGAAUAAACACACACAGACACACACAAAGGGCCAGUCAAGCGCCUCUGUCAGUGGAUUUCCUAAUCCCAGGGAUCCAGGCAGGGGAACUCCGAAAGGGGCUGAAUAACUCAGAGAACCAUCUUGAGAGACGUACCCGGGCGUCCUCACGCACUCCAUCAGCAUGUUUUUCAGAGUGCCACGACUCACUCCAGGUUACCUCCGGUUUCUGCAGACCCAGGCCUGCAGACCAGUGUCUGUGCGGCCCCCGGUUGAAAGGACCCUCCCGGGCGUAGCGAUGCUGAUGGGGGCCCUGGGGAUCGGUAUGUGUGGUUACAGCUCCCAGCAGCUGGCCCUCCACCACCGGCCUUCCGCCCGUGUGCUCCAGUGGGCCGGCGCACAUACCAGCAUCCCCUCGGCCGCCAUGAUGGGAGGAGCCAGCCAGAGGACCCCCUUCCUGGAUGUGAGCCGCCAGGCCAGCGCGUGCAUGGAGGUUCCCCCGCCCUCCUACGCUGGCGACAAAGUGGCCCUGAAAUAGCCUGGGUCCGAUUUCAAGAUGAACAAGCCUCAUAGGUUUCUGUUCAGGUAAUGGUGCAUGUGCACACCUUUAAUCGGAGCGGUGCCGGCCCGUGGACGCACGCGGCCCACGCUCCCUUGAGAUGUGCCUGUGCGGACCGACAUGAACUGGACCUGUGUGUUGGCUUGGAGAAUGAGUGCGUGUUAGCUCAAUGAUCAAAUAGUGUCAGUUCCGGUAGCCGGAGUAAAAUAGCAGCAGCCCUUCAUCAUCUAUAGCCAGUUUGGAGUUUGUUCACAAACACUUAGAUUGGAAUGUGUUCGAUUUUAUGCUUGAAAUUCGACAGAAGUUUAGAGUGGGUCUUAAAUAAGAUCACGUGUUUCAUCUACAGUCUGUGGCGUGUGUCUUGGUGAAGGCUGAGCGGAGAAAAAAGAAAAAGGGACUUGAUGCUUGGCACGGCUCUCAUGAACGCAGAUGGUGGUUGGCAGCAUGUCUCCUGUAUACCCUCCUCCCCUCCUCUCUCUCACACACCCACACACACACACACACACACACACACACACACACACACACACACACACACACACACACACACACACACACACACACACACACACACACACACACACACACACACACAAACACACACACACACACACACACACACACACACACACACACAAACACACACACACACACACACACACACACACACACACACACACACACACACACACACACACACACACACACACACACACACACACACACACACACACACACACACACACACACACACACACACACACACACAUACACAACACACACAUGCCAGAAAUCCCUGUGCAACUGGGUUCCGGUGGCUCCAAUUGAUUUCAACGGAGUAGAACCAGGUGCCGUUCAUCAGCAGGCCUUGGCAUUAAGCAUGAACUGGCAUGAGGCUGCCAUCAGGACUCAUUCACACAUCAUGGUGGAAGACAGUGGUUCCAGAAGAUUAGGUACAAAUCACCUUUUUUGGGAGCAUAAGAGAGCGUGAUGGGGGGGCUGUGAUAUUGCAAUCUGUACCAGUAACAGUGUAGGCUUUGUCUUCUCAAGCCAGUAUCUACUCUGUGUGUGUAUUGAUUCCAUAUCUAUCUUGAGAGCAGCCUUGUACUUGACCCCGGUAAACAACAGUGCUGUAUAAAUACACCUCUGUGGAUUAAGGGUCCUAAUUCACCUGGGUAAGACAGCGAUGGCGGCAUGCACGGCAGAGAGCCUCUCCCUGCCUGAGCCUGGCAGCCUAAGCCAAUUUCCUCAUUUAGUAUUAGCCCUGGUGGAAAAUCAGCACCCCGGCACACACACACAACCACCUGAUCUUGUAUUCAGACUAAGUACCAACAAGACAGAGCCAGGACAGGACCUGACGGUUCCUGUGCAUCCCCGCUCUUGUGCCGUUCCCCCUGCAGUGUCCACCACUAAUAAGCCCCCCCCCACGCUGCCGUCGGACACAGAGGUCCUGAUGGGUUCUGCCCUUUGAAGGGCCAGCCGGUGGGCUUUUGGCGAGACCACUGAGUGUGGUUGAGAACGCGUGCUGUGCCUUAUGGGGAUAGCGCAGAUGCGGUCUCGUUGUUGUUGUGCUUUUGUGGCACGGUUAAUGACCUGAAACUCAAUUAGCACUCAUGGGAGAGAUUGAGCGACGUUUGGGGAUGAGCUUUCGUGGUUGCUGGAUGUUGUUUUUUGGACGAGCCUGCAUCGGCGCAACUUUUUAACUCAGAGCCGCGAAAUCACUCCUUAAAGAGUUUCAUAACGCUGAGGUCAGAAAGACCCAGUGAUCCAUUUCCUCCCGCUGCGAUGAAGACAUUGGCGUGUGUAUCCCGGUGUGGCUUUGAAAUGUGAGGAUUUUUGCAGGUUGGGAGACGGUAACACGACAAGCCAAGGCAACAAGGGCCUUGCUGCAAAUCUGUAGUUCUGUAGUAGUGCCCUGACAAUGGAAUAAACCUCUUAUCCUACUAUCCUACCGCCACCCAGGUUCUAUAUCUAGUGGGUGCUGGAGUGUUGAAAUAGUGUCACAUCAUGUGCUGCAUUGGUACAGUUUAUUGCUCCCCCACAGGCCUCGUCGGGACAUGGGUGAGAGGGGGGUUGACGGGGUUUAACGGACACUCUCGAUGCUGCCAUGGUCUGCAGAAGGUGUAUUGAGCAUUAAAUAAAUGUAUUGAUCUCAAUCAUCCCACUGCACCAAAACAGCUGCUUCUCUGAAUUUCCCCAACUUGUGUUAGAGAACUGCUGACAUGACGUGAGACUGUAUGAGAUGCAUGUUCUUAUUUUAACAUUGCAGGUGGAGGCGUUAUUUAAGAAAAGAGUGUUUUGCACAAACAGGAUGCAUAAUGAUUAAUGCGACUAAGUGAAAUUGUUUGGAGAAUGUUAUGUUUACGACUGUUGCACUAUUUGUCAUCCCCUGGCUUUUGCUGGGCCUAAACACAUAUAUUUUGAACAGUAUGCUGUAUUGUAUUCACUGAAAAAAAUCAAUAAAACGAUC
ensembl:lncRNA